UGGUGGAGUGAUUUGUCUGGUUAAUUCCGAUAACGAACGAGACUCUAGCCUGCUAAAUAGACGGGCGAUCCCUUCGUGGGUCGACCCGAUUUGCUUCUUAGAGGGACAAGUGGCGAUCCUAGCCACGCGAAAUUGAGCAAUAACA
rnacentral:rRNA from 1 species